ACGAACGCUGGCGGCGUGCUUCACACAUGCAAGUCGAACGGAAAGGCCCAGCUUGCUGGGUGCUCGAGUGGCGAACGGGUGAGUAACACGUGGGUGAUCUGCCCCUAACUUCGGGAUAAGCUUGGGAAACUGGGUCUAAUACCGGAUAGGACAAUCGUUUAGUGUCGGUUGUGGAAAGUUUUUUCGGUUAGGGAUGAGCCCGCGGCCUAUCAGCUUGUUGGUGGGGUAAUGGCCUACCAAGGCGUCGACGGGUAGCCGGCCUGAGAGGGUGGACGGCCACAUUGGGACUGAGAUACGGCCCAGACUCCUACGGGAGGCAGCAGUGGGGAAUAUUGCACAAUGGGCGCAAGCCUGAUGCAGCGACGCCGCGUGGGGGAUGACGGCCUUCGGGUUGUAAACCUCUUUCGACAGGGACGAAGCUUUGGUGACGGUACCUGUAUAAGAAGCACCGGCUAACUACGUG
rnacentral:rRNA from 1 species